rnacentral:rRNA from 1 species
GAUGAACGCUAGCGGCAGGCCUAAUACAUGCAAGUCGAACGGUGGUAGCAAUACCAUAGUGGCGCACGGGUGCGUAACACGUAUGCAACCUACCUAUUAUUGGGGGAUAGCCUUUGGAAACGGAGAUUAAUACCGCAUAAUACGAUUGACUGGCAUCGGUUGAUUGUUAAAGCUUUGGCGAUAAUAGAUGGGCAUGCGUCCAAUUAGUUAGUUGGUUAGGUAACGGCUGACCAAGACGAUGAUUGGUAGGGGAUCUGAGAGGAUAAUCACCCACACGGGCACUGAGAUACGAGCCAGACUCCUACGGGAGGCAGCAGUAGGGAAUAUUGGGCAAUGGGCGGAAACCUGACCCAGCCAUGCCGCGUGCAGGAAGAAGGCGUUAUGCGUUGUAAACUGCUUUUUUAUAGGAAGAAGGAACCCUUGCGAGGGUAGGUGACGGUACUAUAAGAAUAAGCACCGGCUAACUCCGUGCCAGCAGCCGCCGCCG